rnacentral:rRNA from 1 species
AACGAACGCUGGCGGCAUGCCUAACACAUGCAAGUCGAACGAGACCUUCGGGUCUAGUGGCGCACGGGUGCGUAACGCGUGGGAACCUGCCUUUAGGUUCGGGAUAACAGUUGGAAACGACUGCUAAUACCGGAUGAUGUCUUCGGACCAAAGAUUUAUCGCCUUUAGAUGGGCCCGCGUUGGAUUAGCUAGUUGGUGGGGUAAAGGCCUACCAAGGCGACGAUCCAUAGCUGGUCUGAGAGGAUGAUCAGCCACACUGGGACUGAGACACGGCCCAGACUCCUACGGGAGGCAGCAGUGGGGAAUAUUGGACAAUGGGCGAAAGCCUGAUCCAGCAAUGCCGCGUGAGUGAUGAA